rnacentral:tRNA from 1 species
GCCUGGUUGGCUCAGUUGGUGGAGUGUGCAAGUCUUGAUCUUGGGGUGUGGGUUUGAGCCCCACAUUGGGUG